rnacentral:snRNA from 1 species
AUCCCUUCUCAGACUUUUGGCUAAGAUCAAGUGUAGUAUCUGUUCUUAUCAGUCUAAACAAAGUUGUGACAUACUUUAUUAAGUUUGACUAUUUAUGUUUAACGAGAAAAUAGUGGUUAUACUCCCAUGAGUGGAAGUGGAAGCCCCUGAAUUCUU